CGCCUCUUGCAAAAUUAAUAAAUAAGAGGUCUCGCCUGCCCUGUGACUAUAUGUUUAACGGCCGCGGUAUUUUGACCGUGCAAAGGUAGCGCAAUCACUUGUCUUUUAAAUGAAGACCCGUAUGAAUGGCACAACGAGGGCUUAACUGUCUCUUCUUUCAAGUCAAUGAAAUUGAUCUCCCCGUGCAGAAGCGGGGAUAUGUACAUAAGACGAGAAGACCCUGUGGAGCUUCAGGCACCAAAGCAGAAUAUGUUAAGUACCCCAGACCAAUGAUUGAAACAACUUAUAACCUGCCCUAAUGCCUUCGGUUGGGGCGACCGCGGGGAAAUGAAAAACCCCCAUGUAGAAUGGAAGCACAGCUUCUACAACUAAGAGUCCCCACUCUAACUAACAGAACCUCUGACUAACAAGAUCCGGCAAUGCCGAUCAACGGACCAAGUUACCCCAGGGAUAACAGCGCAAUCCCCUUUUAGAGCCCAUAUCGACAAGGGGGUUUACGACCUCGAUGUUGGAUCAGGACAUCCUAAUGGUGCAGCCGCUAUUAAGGGUUCGUUUGUUCAACGAUUAAAGUCCU
rnacentral:rRNA from 1 species